UUUUUAUCAAUGAAUUCACCCUCUUUUGAUAAUUGAAAAUCAGAUUCAGGUUCAAAUUGAUAUGGAAUGGUAUCAGAUCAUGACAGUGUGGUCAAGUAGAGCAAUCUAGGCAAAGUUCAGUUUUACUUCUAUUUUAUUGACUACGCAACAUGCAACUAUCAAUGAGGGCACUGAGUUUAUCCAGUGAACCAAAAUGCUUACAAGGCUAUCUCAUCAUUACCCCCUAUGCAUAUGCAACAAUCCUAAAUGAAACACUCUAGACUCGAUCCUAAAUGUAAUGAACACUCUGUUUUUGUGAAAUCAUUUUCCAAA
rnacentral:sRNA from 1 species